CUUGAUGCAGGUAUUUCAGUGCCCUGCUUAGACUGAUAGUGUUACUUUGGGAAGAGAAGGCAGCUCUGGAAAUUGUUUGAGUUCAAAAGGAAGGAGAAUCACUUUAAUCAUUCAGGCUCUUAGGAAACCUAAGACCCAGUGGGACUGUCUUUUCAUAAUCAAGACUGUCCCAGCCGAUCAGGGGCAUUUAAAGCAAGAAAAUAGCCAAGCAAAGCCUUGCAGUGCUGAAGAGGGCCCCAAAUUGUGCAAAUGAAAUUACUACCUCCCCUAAGCUAAAAAAUGUACAGAAGAGGUUGGGGCUCUGAAUUUCAGAAGGGGACUUUGUAUUUGGAACUUCGCUCUCUUCCUCCAGAAAUAUGUGAAUGGGUUUGGGCCAGAUUCUCAGCUAGUGUAAAUCAGCAUAUUUCCAUGACCUAGUGCUAGUUUAGCAAGAUGAUAUUUAGGACCAGAUCCUGCAUCUCUCUCUGACUUCUGUGGCAUUGCGACCGACAUCACAACUUCAGGAUUGGACCUUAAUCCUUUUCCCAUUCAUGUAAAGCACUCUAAAUGGUUAGUGAUUACAAUGUCUUUCAGUGCUGGCCUGAACUUUAUUUUAUUCUGGAAUUCAUUAUUUUGGUUGUUCCGCAUCUGCUUUCUAUCAUGUUUUUCCUUUGGCAAUUUCACUGGCUUCACUUGUAUUUGUAACUUGUAAUUUCACCAGUGUGGUCCAGCAUUGUGAGACCUGCCUUGAGAAGGUCCCCACUUUUGCUCACUAAAAUAGAUGUCUGAUUCCUAUUAAAGUUUCUCUGCCAGAGCCAAAUAGUGGGCACAUGUCUGGAUAAAGGAUUAUUUCAGCGAAGGUCUCUGAGGACUCCGAGAGGAUAUCUGUUGAGUGUGGUCUAUCAAAGGCAGUCUACUCUGAGAACUCCAGUUACAGGCUGGGCUGAUGGAUGUCAGCUGAAGUGUAUGAGGAUACAUGGGACACAUCUUGGGCCUGAUUCCCCCCCUGCCUCCCCUCCCACCAUUGACUUCAACUGCCAUGACCAUGGACAGCAGCCAGACAGGCACAGCAGACCGUAACUAAGAAGGAUUUACACAACACACUGUAAUUGCAGGCAUUAUAGCAUGUGGGGUCAAAACACACUUGUAAAAAUGUGCCCUAUGGAGUUUUCCAAACCCAUUAGGAUAGAUUGGGUAAAUAAAGUAUGUCCUCAAAA